CUGGCUGCUCCCUUAACAGUCAGAGAGGAAGUAGCCCCAAGCUUACAGAAUGAGGGGUUUAUAUUGGGGAGGGGAGUUUGAUGGAGUUCUUUCGUAUGGCCGCAUCCUGGGGUUGUUUGCUGGUUAAUUUUGCUACAUAUUACCUUGUGACGUUUAUUACAGGAGGGUGUAGGUAAAGUUUGUUUAUGUUUCCCAUGACCUCCCCCUGUGCAGUGUGGGUGGUUUGUAAUUGGGGUUUGCUUAUUGCAGCAAGGUCUGAUAAGCAAAGUCUGCUGGCUUCACCGUGGUGCCUAGGUAAGGGCUUAGAAAUGUAAAGAGGCUUGGGGGAUGGGUGGACAGCACCAAGAAGGUUUCUUGGGCAGUUUGUCCCUAACAGAGGGCUGGUUUGGAGUCAGGGAAUCCUGGGGAAGAACACUGACCACUCAGGAAACAUAUCAAAAAACAGACACAUAUCCUAAGUCUACAUUCAUUUCAUAAAAAUGUAUUGGCCCCCUCUUGUGUGCCAAGCAUUAUUCUUGGGUGGCGAAGACAUUGGUGAGGCAAGAUAAAGUCCCUGCACUAAGUUUACACUAAGCUGGGGGAGAGAGAUACCAGGUAUGAAUUCAGCUGACACGAGUUUGGGGAAGACCUUCUAGGCAGAUUGUGUCCAGGAUAAAAACACAGAGGCACAGUUCUGAGGCUUCUAGCAUGGGACAGACAGACUCCUGGAGGAAUUUCUUAGAGAUAGCAUUGAAGGUCAUUGACAGAGGAAUUUGAUUUGCAAGUGUAGCCUAUAUAGAACAGAGUAGCUAGAACAAAGGCUCAUUAAGAUAGAGGCAUGGGCUCUAUUAGCUGGGCGUGGUGGCAAGUGCGUGUGGUCCCAGGUACUUGGGAGGCUGAGACUACAGGCGCCUGCAAUCACACCCAGCUAAUUUUUGUGUUUUUAGUAGAAAUGGGGUUUCACCAUGUUGGCCAGGCUGGUCUUGAUCUCUUGACCUCGUGAUCCACCCACCUCGGCCUCCCAAAGUGCUGAGAUUACAUGUGUGAGCCACCGCGCCUAGCUAAUUGUUGUAGAGAUGGGUUUUCGCCAUGUUGCCCAGACUGGUCUUAAACUUCUGGGGCUCAAGUGAUCUGCUCCCAUUGGGCUCCCAAAGUGCUGGGAUUAUAGGCAUGAGCCACUGCGCCUGGCAACCUACAUUUUUAAAAGACACUCAGCCAGGCACAGUGGUUCACACCUGUAAUCCCAGCACUUUGGGAGGCUGAGAUGGGAGGAUCACUCAAGGUCAGGAGUUUGAGACCAGCCUGGGCUCCUGAGACAGGUUCCAAAAAUAAAAACCCAUAACAACAAAAGAAAGACCAGCCUGGGUGACAGAGUGAGAACUUUUCUCUAAAAAAUUUUUUUUUUUUAAUUAGCCAGGUAUAAUGGUGCACACUUGUAGUCCCAGCUAUGCAGGACUGAGGCGGGAGGAUGGCUUGAGCCCAGGAAUUCAAGGCUGCAGUGAGCUAAGAUCACACCACUGCAUUCUAACCUGGGUGACACAGACAGACCGUCUCAAAAUAAUAAUAAUGAUAAUAAUAAUAAAAGAUAACCUCGUGAUUCUGCAUCAGGGAGGCCUUAUUUGAAAAUACUAGCCUAGUAUUAACUUCUUUGGGUCAUAUACAUCUUUGCAUGCCUACAUGCCUAUUCCUAGAGACACACACAUACACAAACAUUCCAAGGAGUUUUAGGGGUCUUGGAGCUCAGAUCAACACCUAGCCUUAUUUUAUUAUUAUUAUUUUUUGAGACGGAGUUUCACUCUUUUUUUUUUUUUUUUUUUUUGAGACAGAGUCUCGCUUUGUCAUCCAGGCUGGAGUGUGCAGUGGUGCAAUCUCAGCUCACUGCAACCUCCGCCUCCUGGGUUCACGCCAUUCUCCUGCCUCAGCCUCCUGAGUAGCUGGGACUACAGGCGCCCACCACCUUGCCCGGCUAAUUUUUUUUGUAUUUUUAGUAGAGACAGGGUUUCACCAUGUUAGCCAGGAUGGUCUCAAUCUCCUGACCUCAUGAUCCGCCCGCCUCAGCCUGCCAACGUGCUGGGAUUACAGGUGUGAGCCACCGCGCCUGGCCCGAGACGGAGUUUCACUCUGGUCACCCAGGCUACAGUGCAAUGGCGCAAUCUUGGCUCACUGUAACCUCCACCUCCCUGGUUCAAGCAAUUCUCAUGCCUCAGCCUCCUGAGUAGCUGGGAUUAUAGGCACCCGCCACCACACCCGGCUAACUUUUGUAUUUUCAAUAGAGACGGGAUUUCACCAUGUUGGCUAGGCUGGUCUUGAACUACUGACCUCAGGUGAUCUGCCCACCUCGGCCUCCCAAAGUGCUGGGAUUACAGGCGUGAGCCACUGCACCCGGUCUCCCACCCUUAAAUGGCCUGGACAGACGAGGGAUGGGCAUGUGGCCAUGGCCUUUACUUCUCACUCUGGCUGGCCACUUGGAUGUGGCUUAUUCUGUUGAUGCAGACAAGCAUAUCCUCAAUGCACAGUGAAGCCUGGGAAAGCCCCUUCCUGACUUCAAUUGCUUCUGGGGCUGACCCUCAAAGACCUGUGGUAGCAGAGAGAAAAGGAGGCCCUACCUCUGGUGGAAAUAUCUGUGCCAAGAAACAAGGAGCUGGCUGGGCACAGUGGCUUACGCCUGUAAUCCCAGCACUUUGGAAGGCUGAGGCUCAGGGCGGAUCACCUGAGUUCAGGAAAUGGAGACCAGCCUGACCAACAUGGUGAAACCCCAUCUCUACUAAAAAUACAAAAAAUAGCCAGGCGUGGUGGCGCAUGCCUGUAAUCCCAGUUACUCGGGAGGCUGAGGCAGGAGAAUUGCUUGAACCCGGGAGGCGGAGGAUGCAGUGAGCCGAGAUUGUGCCAUUGCACUCCAGCCUGGGCAACAAUAGCGAAACUCCGUCUCAAAAAAAAAAAAAAAAAAGAAAAAAGAAAAAAGAAAUGAGGAGCUGAGAAUGGGGUGGGGCUGAGGCUGAAGGGUUUCAUGACACUAAAAAAAAUUGAUGAGAUGCUGGAAAGUUGGGUCAUGAGGGCAGGAAGCAGAGGAGUCAGGUCUGGUUUCUAGGCCCUAAAUAAGCUUUACAAACUUCAAAGCACUCAGAGAUCUCUAGAUAAUAAUCAUAGCACCUUUAAGUGGCAAGCUGAGGGCCAAGAUCUGGCUGUCAGUCUGGGCUGAGAACUGGUGUUGCAAGCUGGGCCUCCCGGAGGCUGUGCUGAGGGUUAGGGGAGGGAACUAGGUUGUACACUAGGAAUUAAAACCUGGUACAAAAGCCGGGUGCAGUGGCUUACGCCUGUAAUGCCAGCACUUUGGAAGGCUGAGGCGGGCGGAUCAUGUGAGGUCAGGAAAUGGAGACCAGCCUGACCAACAUGGUGAAACCCCAUCUCUACUAAAAAUACAAAAAAUAGCCAGGUGCAGUGGCUCAUGCCUGUAAUCCCAGCACUUUGGGAGGUCAAGGCAGGCAGAUCACUUGGGGUCAGGAGUUCAAGACCAGCCUGGCCAACAUGGUGAAACCUCAUCUCUAUUAAAAAUACAAAAACUGGUCAGGUGUGGUGGCGCACACCUGUAAUCCCAGCUACUCGGGAGGCCGAGACAGGAGAAUCACUUGAACCCAGGAGGCAGAGGUUGCAGUGAGCCAAGAUCGUGCCACUGCACUCCAGCCUGGGCAUCAGAGAGAGACUCCAUCUCAAAAACAAAACAUUAAAAAAAAAAAAAACUGGUACAAAGGUAUCUUCUACUGCCAAGGUUCCUCUUCUGACCCCAAUAUGCCCCUGUGAUAAGGUGGCGCACGAGUCAACCCGCCCCAGAAAAGCUGAAGGAGAGAGAGACCUUGGUGGGGUCGGAUUGGAGAUGAGGUUGGAAUAAAGUCAGUUCAUUACUUCACUUGACACCGGAACAGUGUCUUUUCUCCAAAACUUCUACCUCCUUCCAGGUUGAUUAAUCUGGUUUCUUCCUUCCUGGGUAGGCCAGACACAGGGCUGAGCUGGGUGACUCUGCAUAGGCCAGCAGAGGUCACAGGCCCUUGCUCUCCUCAGGGAGAUGUUGUCCUAACCAGGAGCAGGGCAGGGGCUGCCCAUGGCUAGACUCUGCCCACAAAGGAAUUAGUGGUAGAUGGAUAAUGGGGGUGGGGAUUCUGUGCAGAGCUUGGGGAUACAGAUGGGUAGUCACCCCUGGCUACAAAUCUAAUCUAACACCAGGUGUUCCUGGCCUACCCCGCUCUGCCCAUGAUGGUACAGAGGAAAAAUGCAAGGUCUGUGCGCCUUGGGACUCUCCUCGUUGCCUGGAUUCUGAGUUGACCUGAUCUGUCACAUGGCCACUUUGUCAGAACUCAUCUGGUACGUGGGCUUCACUGAUGCUGGGCUAGUCUGACCCCAUCCAGGUCAGGGCUGGGUGUUAUCACAGGGAGGGGCAGAUGCCUGCAAAACCCUGGCUGAGACACCAGUGAAGGCCUCAGGAGUGAUGGGUAAAGUCAGCAGUCAGCUAAGAACCCUGGGGUCUCUGUGUGACCCUGGACAGGCUGCUUAGCCCUCCUUGGUCUCAGUGUCUCCAACUGUAAAAGCCUAGGAAAGUGAAGAUCUCUUCUAGUUCAAAACUGUGAUAAGGCCCUCCUGGCAGGGUCUAGGAGGGCUAAGAAGUCCUGAGGCAUGUGGCUAUCUCAGGGAGGCCCAAAG
rnacentral:lncRNA from 1 species